rnacentral:rRNA from 1 species
AGAGUUUGAUCCUGGCUCAGGACGAACGCUGGCGGCGUGCCUAAUACAUGCAAGUCGAACGCUUCUUUUUCCACCGGAGCUUGCUCCACCGGAAAAAGAAGAGUGGCGAACGGGUGAGUAACACGUGGGUAACCUGCCCAUCAGAAGGGGAUAACACUUGGAAACAGGUGCUAAUACCGUAUAACAAUCGAAACCGCAUGGUUUUGAUUUGAAAGGCGCUUUCGGGUGUCGCUGAUGGAUGGACCCGCGGUGCAUUAGCUAGUUGGUGAGGUAACGGCUCACCAAGGCCACGAUGCAUAGCCGACCUGAGAGGGUGAUCGGCCACAUUGGGACUGAGACACGGCCCAAACUCCUACGGGAGGCAGCAGUAGGGAAUCUUCGGCAAUGGACGAAAGUCUGACCGAGCAACGCCGCGUGAGUGAAGAAGGUUUUCGGAUCGUAAAACUCUGUUGUUAGAGAAGAACAAGGAUGAGAGUAACUGUUCAUCCCUUGACGGUAUCUAACCAGAAAGCCACGGCUAACUACGUGCCAGCAGCCGCGGUAAUACGUAGGUGGCAAGCGUUGUCCGGAUUUAUUGGGCGUAAAGCGAGCGCAGGCGGUUUCUUAAGUCUGAUGUGAAAGCCCCCGGCUCAACCGGGGAGGGUCAUUGGAAACUGGGAGACUUGAGUGCAGAAGAGGAGAGUGGAAUUCCAUGUGUAGCGGUGAAAUGCGUAGAUAUAUGGAGGAACACCAGUGGCGAAGGCGGCUCUCUGGUCUGUAACUGACGCUGAGGCUCGAAAGCGUGGGGAGCAAACAGGAUUAGAUACCCUGGUAGUCCACGCCGUAAACGAUGAGUGCUAAGUGUUGGAGGGUUUCCGCCCUUCAGUGCUGCAGCUAACGCAUUAAGCACUCCGCCUGGGGAGUACGACCGCAAGGUUGAAACUCAAAGGAAUUGACGGGGGCCCGCACAAGCGGUGGAGCAUGUGGUUUAAUUCGAAGCAACGCGAAGAACCUUACCAGGUCUUGACAUCCUUUGACCACUCUAGAGAUAGAGCUUCCCCUUCGGGGGCAAAGUGACAGGUGGUGCAUGGUUGUCGUCAGCUCGUGUCGUGAGAUGUUGGGUUAAGUCCCGCAACGAGCGCAACCCUUAUUGUUAGUUGCCAUCAUUCAGUUGGGCACUCUAGCAAGACUGCCGGUGACAAACCGGAGGAAGGUGGGGAUGACGUCAAAUCAUCAUGCCCCUUAUGACCUGGGCUACACACGUGCUACAAUGGGAAGUACAACGAGU